AGUGAUAAAACAGAACAUUACUAUAACAAAACCGAAGAGCUAAGCAAUCCCAGUAGGAGUCCUCCUUCUAAUUUCUUGAAUCAAAGCCAUUAAUCCCGUCCAAGAUGGCAAUUGCUUCAGCCACUACUGCCGACCCACAGAUGCUCGAUCUAGUAGAGCCACCAAUACCAUUACCCAGAUUGUCUCUUAUCAUAACUCCAUAGCCACUUGAAGAAGACGGAUCAGACCAUGAGGCAUCGCAAUUUAUUUUUGCAAACCCAGGAGGAGGAGGGGUCCAUAUGCUAGAUGGCAAGGUCAACGGAAUUAUAAUGGGUGGACUCGGCCUAUUUACUUGCCAGAAUUCAUUAGCUAGAAUGAUCCCACUGAAGAUAAUGGCCUGGGGGUAGAGCGGUUUCCUCUGAUAUAAGUACUCGCAUCUUGCAACCCAUAUCUUCCAGCAAAUGAAGCUAAUCAAGGAUGAGUAACCUGAACAAUUUGAACUUUUCUCCACUGGAGACAACAGGCACAGGAUACCACAAAUAGGUCCAUGAUGUGCUCCAGCAUCUAAAAGCUGAAUAUCCUGGAUACGAUCCAAGAGCCAAGUCAGAACAUACUUACUCCUGCACAAGCUGCCGCUUUGGAAGCGAAUAGAGCUACUAUGGAGGAAAACCAAUCUAAAGCCAUCAUUCUCAUCACAAGGCACAUGAAUGAUGCGCUCCGGAAUGAGUACCUCAAUGAAGAGGACUCUAGAAAGCUAUGGGUAGAACUCGAGCAGCGAUUUGGCAACGUUCGUGACUCCCUGCUUCCAGUUCUAGAAGUGAGAUGGCAUAGCCUUCACUUCUGUGAUUUCAAGUCUGUACUUGACUACAAUUUAGAAGCCCUUCGUAUCAAGUCCUUAAUGGAGUUCUGUGAAAAGAACAUCACUGAUACGAUGUUGAUCUAGAAGACUCUCUCUACCUUCCCUAUCUUUGCACUGAUAAUUUCCAAGAAUUAUCGGAUCGAUGUAAAUGCAGAACACAUCACAAGGUUUCAUGAGCUUAUUUGUCACGCCCCGAAUUUUGAAUAACAAAUUCAAAUCAGAAACAUGAAUAAUAACCAAAACAAAUAACGUCCUGAAUUUUUUUCUUAACCAGCGUCUCGCAAAACCAAAAUACAAACCUCGUAGCAAACUAUCUCUCGAGUCAAAUAUUACAAUACCACCAUAAAUAAAAGUUACGCUCAAAAGAUUCUGCAACACACCAAAAAUAGGUUAAGUGCUGACGUCAACCCCGCUGAUCUACUCAGCUCGCUCUCCACCCUGAUUAUCCUGACUUGUAG